rnacentral:rRNA from 1 species
CCUACGGGAGGCAGCAGUGAGGAAUAUUGGUCAAUGGGCGGGAGCCUGACCCAGCCAAGCCGCGUGAGUGAAGAAGGUACAGCGUAUCUUAAACCUCUUUUGUCAGGGAACAAAGGCGGGGACUAGUCCCCGCAUGAGGGUACCUGAAGCAAACGUAUCGGCUACCUCCGUGCCAGCCGCCGCGGUAAUACGGAGGAUGCGAGCGUUAUCCGUAUUUAUUGGGUUUAAAGGGUGUGCAGGCGGCCUGUUAAGUCAGCGGGAAAAGCCCGGGGCCCAACCCCGGCGAGCCGUGGAAACUGGCGGGCUGGAGUUGGAGAGAAGUACGUGGAAUGCGCGGUGUAGCGGUGAAAUGCGUAGAUA